ensembl:lncRNA
AAUCUAGUGCAGCGGAAAUAUUGAAAGAAAACAAAUACUAUUUGAACCCAGGUCUGGAACUAAGCACACUCUAUGCUCUUUGUCAGGUGCUGCUGGUGAGAUUAUGAAGACCAUGUCGUUGACCGAGUUGUCGGACUUCAUCAAAGAGCAGGAUUUGGACAUUCAAAGGAUGGAGAAUGAACAUGACGAGGGUGAAUGGUUUUUCCCAAUUCAUUAAAUGGUGUAGGGUGAAGUUGCCCCUAUACCAGUGGUCUUUGGUCAGUUUUUCCAUUUUCCUCACUAGUGGUUAGGAUUGCAGGAGGGGAAGCUAAUCCUUGAUCUGUACCAAAGAGAAACUUCACACCAGGGCUCAUUAAAUCCCCCUAAACCUACUACGGUAUUCAUAUCUUCCCAUGAAAAUAACUUGUGUUCAGUCAGUGUGAAAAACAUUGAUUUGUUCCAUACGCUCUUCUCCCUGGUCAGAUGCCAUCAAAGAGGAGCUCCUGAAGUUGACUGAGCAGAAGCACAAGGCAGACCGCUCUUUCUACAGCACUACAGAGACACUGACUGGGCCUCAGGAGAAGGCGAUGCUCCUCACCACCUCCAACCAGAGCCUAAACAGGGAGGCCCUGUGCCUGGUCUCCACACCCGACAAGAGCGAGUGCUCGGCGGGGGGAGGAGAUCAGCAGCUCCCCUGGUCCUUCCGGCCGUGCUUCACCCCAAUCAACAACCUGCUGACCGGAUUUAGCACUUCUCAGAGCCCCUACAGGGCCGAGGAGGAGGGGGGCUCCGGUCUGGCAAAUUAUGGCCUGUUCUCCUCCCCCAGUAUCUUCAGGGACCCUGUUAACCCCGUCUACGAGCCUCUGUUUGAGCUGGCCCUGCCCAGGGCUGCCUCUCUGUUCGUGGGGAGGAAGACUUCGGUGGCACUGGCGCAGAGGACCGCUGGCGACGAGGGGAGAGGAACGCAAGCAAGGGGGAGGAGGAAGGGGACGAGAUGGCGGCAUUGUCCCCGCUGGAGGUCCUGGAUCGCCUCAUUCAGCACGGCAACGAGGCCUAUGAAAAAGUGCUCAAGAGAUUGCCCAUGCCAAACAAGUCAGUAGACUGGACACACUUUGGAGGUAAACAACAGAGUAUGAAAGCGAAAGGUAUUGCCACUACGCUAUGAUGGGGGAGAGGAUGAGACUAUCCUUUUUUUCCUGUCUGCGCUCUCCUUCCUACCGCAUCCAUCACUCUCUUUGUCGGUUUGUCUUUUUUUUUUUCUAUCAGGUUCCUACCUUUAUCUUCUUUGAAAAGCUACAUAUCAGCUGUAAUAUAUGGAGUAGGGUGAAGUUGACCCUAAACGCUGAGCUUGGGUCAGUUUUGCUAUUAACCCACUAAGGCUAGGAUUGGGGGAGGGGGAGCUGAUCAUAGAUCUGUACCUAGGGGAACUGCCAUGAGUGUCUGUGGAACAACCUGUCCUUCUGUUUCUGUUCUCCAAACUCUCCAGGCUAAUAUUAAUUAGAUUGACCUAUUCAAUCCAAUGGGAUUUGGCUUACUAUGUGAUCAGAAUCUGAGAGCCACUGCAUCUCAUUGUUUCUUGCCCUUUGCUAUGGAGUCAAAGUUCGUCUUUUGAGACUAUCUAUGCAUGCAGUGCUUAGGUUAAUGCUUAAAAUCUAUGCAAUAUACAGUACCAUUUCAUUUUGAUCUAUAGUGAACAAAAAUAUUAACACAACAUUCAACAAUUUUAACAAUUUUACUGAGUUACCAUUCAUAUAAGAAAAUCAGUCAAUUGAAAUAAAUAAUUAGGAUUUGACUGGGCAGGGGCACAGCCAUGGGUGGGCCUAGGAGGUCUCCCACUUGGGAGCCAGGACCACCCACUGGGGAGCCAGGCCCAGCCAAUCGAAAUGUGUUUUUCCCCACAAAAAGGGCUUAUUACAGAUAGAAAUACUCCUCAGUUUUAUCAGCAGUCCGGGUGGCUGGUCUCAGACGAUCCCACAGGUGAAGAAGCCGGAUGUGGAGUUCCUGAUCUAGCGUGAUUACACUUGGUCUGCAGUUGUGAGGCCUGUUGCACAUACUGCCAAAUUCUCAAAAAUGACAUUGGAAGCUGCUUAUGGUAGAGAAAUUAGCAUUUAAAUAUCUGGCAACAGCUCUGGUGGACAUUCCUGCAGUCAGCAUGCCAAUUGCACGCUCCCUCAACUUGAGACAUCUGUGGCAUUGUGGUGUUUGACAAAAUUGCCUUUUAUUGUCCCCAGCACAAGGUGCACCUGUGUAAUGACCGUGCUGAUAAGCAGCUUCUUGGUAUGCCGCACCUGUCAGGUGGAUGGAUUAUCUUGUCAAAGGAGAAAUGCUCACUAUCUCGGAUGUAAAAAUAAAAUGUAAAAAUUAUUCUGCACAAAAGUUGAAAGAAAUAAGCUAUUUGUGUAUAUGGAAAAUCUGAGACUUUAUUUAAGCUCUUGAAAUUU